GCCUGGAUGGCUCAGUCGGUAAAGUGUCUGACUUCAGCUCAGGUCAUGAUCUCAUGGUUUGUGAGUUCGAGCCCCACGUUGGGCU
rnacentral:tRNA from 1 species